UGAGGAAUAUUGGUCAAUGGGCGAGAGCCUGAACCAGCCAAGCCGCGUGAGGGAAGACGGUCCUACGGAUUGUAAACCUCUUUGUCGGGGAGCAAUAAAGCGUACGCGUACGCAGAUGCGAGUACCCGAAGAAAAAGCAUCGGCUAACUCCGUGCCAGCAGCCGCGGUAAUACGGAGGAUGCGAGCGUUAUCCGGAUUUAUUGGGUUUAAAGGGUGCGCAGGCGGAAAGUGCAAGUCAGCGGUCAAACGACGGGGCUCAACCCCGUCUCGCCGUUGAAACUGUCUUUCUAGAGUGAGCGAGAAGUAUGCGGAAUGCGUGGUGUAGCGGUGAAAUGCAUAGAUAUCACGCAGAACUCCGAUUGCGAAGGCAGCAUACCGGCGCUCAACUGACGCUCAUGCACGAAAGCGUGGGUAUCGAACAGGAUUAGAUACC
rnacentral:rRNA from 1 species